AACGUUUUUAUUCAUUUUAACGUUGAAACGCUUUUACCCAAUUUGGAGGUGAAAUUGAACAAAGUUUCACCCACUUCCAUCGUCGAAUUAGGACGAAAUUCAGGUGAUAUUUAACUGUGCGCCAAACCCUAAUUAAUUUAUUUUUAUUGAAUAAUAUUAGAAUAUUUGCAUAUGAGUCAACAUCAAUAUUGAUGUAAAAAAAAUAUAAAAUUUUCUUUUAAUUUUGUGUAUAUGUAACAUAACAUCAUAGUCGGUAAGUCCAUUACGCAAAUUGACAUGUUAUCACAUUUUUUUAAAUAUAUACGACUGAGUCUUCAUAAUAAAAUCAACUUGGAUUGCGUGGAAAUAUUUUGGUUGGUAUUGGCUAUUAUUAGUUGACAGUUUUUACAGUGAGCUGACGACACAAAAUAUUGGCAUCGAAUGAAACAACUUGUAUUCAAUUUGUAGCAGUCAAUUGCAGCUAACAUUUACAUUUCUUGAAAAAAAAUUCCGCUCAAAAGAGCUGUGACAACUACAGUGAUUUUGAAUCUCAAUGGAAAAACGGCGAGGGUCUAAAACUUUUGGCUGUGUUCCAAGAAAAAAAGCAAACAAGAAGAAAAGGCAAAAAAGGAAGAACAUUUCGAAAUACGAACAAGAAAAUUAUCAGCCAACUCAAUAUUCAGAGAUAAAUAUGCAGAGUACCUCGUCGAUCACUUUUAUGACAAAUGCUUGAGAGCAAGAAAAAUAUCGUAUCUGGCGUCAUUCUUAUUGCUGUAUAAAGUCAACGAGGUGUUUGAUAUCGCUGAUCUCGUUUAUUUUAUGAAAACUGCUGGAAAACAUGAAAUUCGUCAAAUUUUCACCGCUGUGGUACACACUGAUGGUGGCCUUACAAAUCAAAUGCCAGACGAGUUUAAAGAAAUGGUCGAGGAAUUGACUAUCAACGAAUUUGAGUGGCCAUCUCGUCACUUAAUGGCUUCGACACAAAAAAAUCCAUUGUUGUACGAAAAACCGACGCAACCACUGCCGCCAAAGAUUCACAAUUUUACAGUGUACCGCUAUGUAAUAAUAAACUCAAACGCAUCAGAUUUGAUUAUAGCGAUUUUUUAGCUCGAUGGAAAGUGAUUCCGGAAAAAUUCGGUGGCAAACAUGAUGGAGGAAUUAGAUGUUGUUGUUCUUCGCCUUAUAUUGAUUUUACUAUAUUAAAUUCUUUCGAAUUUACAAUCCAACUACUUGCUUUCGGAGCGUCUGACGCAUCAUCAUACGAAAUUACAACUGAGAAUUCAAUACUUCAAAAAAAAACUUGAAGCUGGUGAUUACACGUUUAUCAAACCAUAUGAUCCCGGCGUGAACACAUACUAUGCUGGAUUUUGUCGGAAAUUCAAUGUGUCGGAAUGAGUUAAUUAAAUAAUUUUUUAAAUAAAGUUUCAUAAUUUUCUGAAUUCAAUGUAUUGUUAUCAGCAAAGCAAUAUAUAAUAAUUGGGGUGCCCGACAAGGUUCGAGACAAAAAAGCGCAUGACUCCAACAUUCACGAAGAUGAAACAGUCCGAUCGCGAGAAAAACUAUCUAUCAAUACCAUCACCGCGCGGAAACGGCUGGAUAUAUUAUCUCGAUCAUCGAUUGAAAUAGAUGGAGGAUGGAUUGGAGGCAUAUGCUAGGCGACGAUAUGCCCGGCUAUCGUUGAACGAGUAGAUCAACUCACAGCAUGAAACCGAUUGGUUAGCAAAAUCAUUUGCAAAGAAUAAGCCAUCGCUGUUUACCAUCGGAGACGCGGACUUGCCAGCCAAUUCGUCAAUCGGUAAGAAGAAGAUCAAACGCUGCCCGGGAACACGACAUUUUCAAAACAGAGGUAUAGUAAAUCAGGCAAAUCUACCAAACGAUUUUAAACCAGAGCGAUUAGCGACACCCAAAAUGUACUAUUGAAAAAACUGGCCAUUUACCAUUGUUUGGCAUCGAGACUUUGUUACAAAGGUACAAUUUUCUGUAGUAAUUUAUUUUUCAGCCUUUGUUUCAUUUUCGAUUUAACAUUGAUAAAUUCGUUUGUGAGACCACCACAACCACAAAGACCGCUAUAUCGUAAAAAAACAGCGGUACGCAAAUGUUGUUCCGUUCCAGGUAAACAAUCAAUAAUAAUCAACCAGCAUCAAUCAAUUGAAGAAAAGAAAACAUGUUAACAAAAAUAGUUAUUAAAAUAGCUUGUAUUUUGUGGCUUUGAUUUGUACAUAAUAUCUGAGAUAUUACGUAUAAAGUAUUCCCUGGUAAGUAUAAUUUUACCAACUAAUUGAUUACAAUUAUUAUUGGUGUUGAUUCAUUGUUAUAAAUAAAUAAAUUUACUUCGAGUGUAGCGCACAGUUAAUGAUAGAAAUUGGGUAAAUCUCUUACAGUAGAUUUUAAAGCUGCUUUAAUUAACAUAUUUAUUUCCAUUCAUAGGAAUUUUUAUGCAUAACUGUUUUUGUCUCUUUUUUCAUUCCAUUGUGACGCUAAAUUUGACUGAAACAACACACAACUGCAAUCUCGCAUUCGACCAUCAAUAUAUACACGAAUUUAUCCCCAAAAAU